rnacentral:rRNA from 1 species
CCCCACACGGGCACUGAGACACGGGCCCGACUCCUACGGGAGGCAGCAGUAAGGGAUAUUGCGACAAUGGGCGAAAAGCCUGACGCAGCAACGCCGCGUGGAGGAUGAAGGCCUUCGGGUUGUAAACUCCUUUUCUGUGGGAAGAGGAAGGACGGUACCACAGGAAGAAGUCUCGGCUAACUACGUGCCAGCAGCCGCGGUAAAACGUAGGAGGCGAACGUUAUCCGGAUUUAACUGGGUGUAAAGCGCGUGCAGCCGGUCUGGUAAGUCGAGCGUGAAAGCUCCCGGCUCAACCGGGAGAGGACGUGCGAAACUGCGAGGCUAGAGACAGGUAGAGGCGUACGGAAUUCCGGGUGUAGUGGUGAAAUGCGUAGAUAUCCGGAGGAACACCAGUGGCGAAGGCGGUACGCUGGGCCUGGUCUGACGCUAAGACGCGAAAGCAUGGGGAGCGAACGGGAUUAGAAACCCCGGUAGUCCAUGCCGUAAACGAUGCUAACUAGGUGUUGCGGGUAAAAGACCGGCAGUGCCGGAGUUAACGCGAUAAGUUAGCCACCUGGGGACUACGGUCGCAAGGCUAAAACUCAAAGGAAUUGACGGGGGCCCGCACAAGCAGCGGAGCGUGUGGUUUAAUUCGAGGCUACACGAAGAACCUUACCUGGGCUUGACAUGACGGUGGUAGGGAACCGAAAGGGGACCGACCUUCGGGAGCCGUCACAGGUGCUGCAUGGCUGUCGUCAGCUCGUGUCGUGAGAUGUUCGGUUAAGUCCGGUAACGAGCGCAACCCUCAUCGCUAGUUACAAGUGUCUAGCGAGACUGCCCGUUCAACGCGGGAGGAAGGCGGGGAUGACGUCAAGUCAGCAUGGCCUUUAUGUCCAGGGCUACACACACGCUACAAUGGCCGGUACAAUGGGUCGCCAACCCGCGAGGGGGAGCCAAUCCACCAAAGCCGGUCACAGUUCGAAUUGCAGGCUGCAACCCGCCUGCAUGAAGUCGGAGUUGCUAGUAACCGCAGGUCAGCUAUACUGCGGUGAAUACGUUCCCGGGCAUGUACACACCGCCCGUCACGUCAUGGGAGCUGGUCAUGCCU